AUUGAACGCUGGCGGCAUGCCUUACACAUGCAAGUCGAACGGCAGCACGGGAGCUUGCUCCUGGUGGCGAGUGGCGAACGGGUGAGUAAUGCAUCGGAACGUGCCCUGAAGUGGGGGGUAACGUAGCGAAAGUUGCGCUAAUACCGCAUAUUCUGUGAGCAGGAAAGCAGGGGACCGCAAGGCCUUGCGCUCUUUGAGCGGCCGAUGUCAGAUUAGCUAGUUGGUGAGGUAACGGCUUACCAAGGCGACGAUCUGUAGCGGGUCUGAGAGGAUGACCAGCCACACUGGAACUGAGACACGGUCCAGACUCCUACGGGAGGCAGCAGUGGGGAAUUUUGGACAAUGGGCGCAAGCCUGAUCCAGCCAUUCCGCGUGCAAGAUGAAGGCCUUCGGGUUGUAAACUAGCUUUUGUUACGGAACGAAACGGACGAGCUCUAAUACAGUUGUCUAAUGACGGUACGUAACGAAUAAGCAC
rnacentral:rRNA from 1 species